rnacentral:rRNA from 1 species
UACGGAGGGGGCAAGCGUUGUUCGGAAUUAUUGGGCGUAAAGGGCUCGUAGGCGGUCUGUCACGUCAGGAGUGAAAACUCGGGGCUCAACCCCGAGCCUGCUUCUGAUACGGGCAGACUGGAGGUAUGCAGGGGAGAACGGAAUUCCUGGUGUAGCGGUGAAAUGCGCAGAUAUCAGGAGGAACACCGGUGGCGAAGGCGGUUCUCUGGGCAUUACCUGACGCUGAGGAGCGAAAGUGUGGGGAGCGAACAGG